UCCCUGAUAGCUCAGUUGGUAAAGAAUCUGCCUGCAAUGCAGGAGAUCCUGGUUUGAUUCCUGGUUGGGGAA
rnacentral:tRNA from 1 species